UACGUAGGUGGCAAGCGUUGUCCGGAUUUAUUGGGUUUAAAGGGUGCGUAGGCGGCCCUGUAAGUCAGCGCUGAAAUAUCCCAGCUUAACCGGGAGGGUGGCAUUGAUACUGCAGGGCUUGAGUAAAGUUGAGGUUGGCGGAAUUGACGGUGUAGCGGUGAAAUGCUUAGAUAUCGUCAAGAACACCGAUAGUGAAGACAGCUAACUAAGCUUUAACUGACGCUGAGGCACGAAAGUGUGGGGAUCAAACAGG
rnacentral:rRNA from 1 species